CACUAUUAGGAUCUGGGGAACCCACAAUGAUUUCGUUCUGCACAAUGAAUUUCGUGUCCUAUCUGGUCGGAUCGACGAUUUGCAGUGGUCGCCUGAUAUGUUGAGGAUCGUUGCUUCCGGUGACGGCAAGGGGAAGUCCUUCGUUCGUGCUUUUAUGUGGGAUACAGGCAGUACUGUAGGAGAUUUUGAUGGGCACUCACGGCGGGGUUUAAGC
rnacentral:misc_RNA from 1 species